AGCGAACGCUGGCGGCGUGCUUAACACAUGCAAGUCGAGUGCGCGUCUGUAGCAAUACAGAUGGCGCACGGCGCACGGGUGCGUAACACGUGGGUAAUCUGCCCUUCGAAGGGGAAUAACUCGCCGAAAGGCGAGCUAAUUCCGCAUAACAUUCCGAGAACCUUGGUUUUUGGAUUCAAAGGCGUAAGUCGUCGGAGGAGGAGCCCGCGCACGAUUAGCUAGUUGGUAGGGUAACGGCCUACCAAGGCUAUGAUCGUUAGCUGGUCUGAGAGGAUGGCCAGCCACACUGGAACUGAGACACGGUCCAGACUCCUACGGGAGGCAGCAGUGGGGAAUCUUGCACAAUGGGCGAAAGCCUGAUGCAGCGACGCCGCGUGGGGGAUGAAGCUUCUCGGAGUGUAAACCCCUUUCGACCCGGACGAAAACCUCGCAAGAGGAUUGACGGUACGGGUAUAAGAAGCCCCGGCUAACUACGUGCCAGCAGCCGCGGUAAGACGUAGGGGGCCAGCGUUGCUCGGAAUUACUGGGUGUAAAGGGUUCGUAGGCGGUGUGGCAAGUCGGGUGUGAAAUCUCUGGGCUCAACCCAGAGUCUGCUUCCGAAACUGC
rnacentral:rRNA from 1 species